UACGUAGGGUGCAAGCGUUGUCCGGAAUUAUUGGGCGUAAAGAGCUCGUAGGCGGUCUGUCGCGUCGGAUGUGAAAAUCCAGGGCUCAACCCUGGACCUGCAUUCGAUACGGGCAGACUAGAGUUCGGUAGGGGAGACGUGGAAUUCCUGGUGUAGCGGUGAAAUGCGCAGAUAUCGAGAGGAACACCUGCGGCGAAGGCGGGUUGCUGGGCUGACACUGACGCUGAUGCGCGAAAGCCAGGGAGCGAACGGG
rnacentral:rRNA from 1 species